GGGGAAUAUUGCACAAUGGGCGAAAGCCUGAUGCAGCGACGCCGCGUGAGGGAUGACGGCCUUCGGGUUGUAAACCUCUUUCAGCAGGGAAGAAGCGAAAGUGACGGUACCUGCAGAAGAAGCGCCGGCUAACUACGUGCCAGCAGCCGCGGUAAUACGUAGGGCGCAAGCGUUGUCCGGAAUUAUUGGGCGUAAAGAGCUCGUAGGCGGCUUGUCACGUCGGUUGUGAAAGCCCGGGGCUUAACCCCGGGUCUGCAGUCGAUACGGGCAGGCUAGAGUUCGGUAGGGGAGAUCGGAAUUCCUGGUGUAGCGGUGAAAUGCGCAGAUAUCAGGAGGAACACCGGUGGCGAAGGCGGAUCUCUGGGCCGAUACUGACGCUGAGGAGCGAAAGCGUGGGGAGCGAAC
rnacentral:rRNA from 1 species